UCCGAUAUGGUGUAGUGGACUAUCAUUCCGCGUUUUCAUCCCGAUAACUGCGACCGCGGCGACCGGGGUUCGAUUCCCCGUAUCGGAG